UACGGAGGGUGCAAGCGUUGUCCGGAAUCACUGGGCGUAAAGGGCGCGUAGGCGGCUUUGUAAGUCGGGGGUGAAAGCCUGUGGCUCAACCACAGAAUUGCCUUCGAUACUGCAUGGCUUGAGACCGGAAGAGGUAAGUGGAACUGCGAGUGUAGAGGUGAAAUUCGUAGAUAUUCGCAAGAACACCAGUGGCGAAGGCGGCUUACUGGUCCGGUUCUGACGCUGAGGCGCGAAAGCGUGGGGAGCAAACAGG
rnacentral:rRNA from 1 species